rnacentral:rRNA from 1 species
UACGGGGGGGGCAAGCGUUGUUCGGAAUUACUGGGCGUAAAGGGCUCGUAGGUGGCCAACUAAGUCAUGCGUGAAAUCCCUCGGCUUAACCGGGGAACUGCGUCUGAUACUGGAUGGCUUGAGUUUGGGAGAGGGAUGCGGAAUUCCAGGUGUAGCGGUGAAAUGCGUAGAUAUCUGGAGGAACACCGGUGGCGAAGGCGGGUCUCUGGGCCGAAAUUGACGCUGAGGAGCGAAAGCGUGGGGAGCAAACAGG